AUGAGUGAGGACAGCUGCUGGUGAAUCGACUACAAUAAUAAUUCGACUAUCGACUAUAUACAUCGACCAGCUCGAUGUUUGGUCAAAUACUGAAAUUAAAUUAUGAAUAAUAAUUAAUAAUUAACAGAGUGUGACCAGUUAAUAGUACACCCUGGUACAAAACAACACGUCUUAUCCACUUUUAAUGUGUAUUAUGUGGAGGGUACCUAUUGUACUAAUCCUGACGAAUGACGAUCAUAGGCGUGUCUACGGGGGAGGUAGGUUGGGCAGCUGCCUCCUCAGCGACUUAUUGGAGGGUUUUACCAGUAUAAAGUACCUAACCAGUACCUAAUACCUAUGUACUAUGUAGUAUAUAAAAAUUAAAUUUUUAUGAUUUGUCUCCCUAGCCAUAAACGUCUAGACACACCUAUGCUGACGAAGGUUAGCUGUGAGAAAAAAAAUAGAUUGAAUGUUAAAAUGGACAUAUUAAAAUUUAAAUACUUGUCUUUUUUUAAUUAUAUAAUAUGAGACAUGAGUAGUACAAUAUAUAGGUUUUGUAUAAUCAUGACAAAUCAUCUUAUAAUAUGAUAUUUUAUGAUUUUAAUUCAAAAUGUACUUUUGCAAAUUUCAGACAUU